GGAGCCAUAGCUCAGUGGUAGAGCACUACUCUUAUAAAGUAGCCGUCGAUGGUUCGAGUCCAUCUGGCUCCACCA
rnacentral:tRNA from 1 species